rnacentral:misc_RNA from 1 species
AGCAGCCGCGGUAAUUCCAGCUCCAAUAGCGUAUAUUAAAGUUGUUGCAGUUAAAAAGCUCGUAGUUGAAUUUCGGGAUUAAUAUGUUGGUCGUGCCUUGGUACGUACUGGCAUUAUUGAUUCCUACCUUCUGAAGAACCUCGAUGUCAUUAAUUUGGUGUCUUGGGGAAUCAGGACCGUUACUUUGAAAAAUUAGAGUGUUUAAAGCAGGCUCGCGCUUGAAUACAUUAGCAUGGAAUAAUGAAAUAGGACGUUUGAUUCUAUUUUGUUGGUUUCUAGGAUCGACGUAAUGAUUAAUAGGGAUAGUUGGGGGCAUUAGUAUUCAAUUGUCAGAGGUGAAAUUCUUGGAUUUAUUGAAGACUGACUACUGCGAAAGCAUUUGCCAAGGAUGUUUUCAUUAAUCAAGAACGAAAGUUAGGGGAUCGAAGACGAUCAGAUACCGUCGUAGUCUUAACCAUAAACUAUGCCGACUAGGGAUCGGAUGAUGUUAAUUUUUAAUGACUCAUUCGGCGCCUUAAAC